rnacentral:rRNA from 1 species
UACGUAGGGCGCGAGCGUUGUCCAGAUUUAUUGGGCGUAAAGAGCUCGUAGGCGGCUUGUCGCGUCGGCUGUGAAAACCCGCGGCUCAACUGUGGGCGGGCAGCUGAUACGGGCAGGCUGGAGUUCGGUAGGGGAGACUGGAAUUCCUGGUGUAGCGGUGAAAUGCGCAGAUAUCAGGAGGAACACCGGUGGCGAAGGCGGGUCUCUGGGCCGAUACUGACGCUGAGGAGCGAAAGCGUGGGGAGCGAACAGG